rnacentral:rRNA from 1 species
UUAAGCUAUAAAGAGCAUAGGGUGGAUGCCUAGGCACUGAGAGCCGAUGAAAGACGUGAUAAGCUGCGAUAAGCUGCGGUAAGGAGCAAAUAUCCAUUGACCCGCAGAUUUCUGAAUGGGGAAACCUACGCAAGAAGACCUUGCGUACUCAUACAUGAAUACAUAGUGUAUGAGAGGGAACCCGGGGAACUGAAACAUCUAAGUACCCGGAGGAAGAGAAAGAAACAUCGAUUUCCUGAGUAGCGGCGAGCGAAAGGGAAAGAGCCCAAACCAGAGGAUUUAUCCUUUGGGGUUAGGACUGCAUAAUUGAUCUGCAAUUGAUAGGAGAACGGUCUGGGAAGUCCGGCGAGAAAGCGUGAAAGCCGCGUAUCCGAAAUCGAAAGCAGCAAGGCAGUAUCCAGAGUACCACGAGACACGAGAAACCUUGUGGGAAUGAGCGGAGACCACUCCGUAAGGCUAAAUACUACUCAGUGACCGAUAGCGCAUAGUACUGUGAAGGAAAGGUGAAAAGGACCCCGGGAGGGGAGUGAAAGAGAACCUGAAACCCUGUGUUUACAAUCUGUGGAAGGUCUUUAUAUGACCAACCGCGUACUUUUUGUAGAACGGUCCGGCGAGUUACGCGUACUGGCAAGGUUAAGUGCUUAAGGCACGGAGCCGAAGCGACAGCGAGUCUUAACUGGGCGAUGAGUCAGUACGAGUAGACCCGAAACCGGGUGAUCUAUCCAUGUCCAGGAUGAAGAUGCCGUAAAAGGCAUUGGAGGUCCGAAGCCACAUCCGUUGAAAAGGGUGGGCAUGAGGUGUGGAUAGGGGAGAAAUUCCAAUCGAACCCGGAGAUAGCUGGUUCUCCUCGAAAUAGCUUUAGGGCUAGCCUCUGGUUAGUCUGCCGCAGGUAGAGCACUGAAUUUCCUAGGGGGCGUCAAAGCCUACCGAAGAAUAUCAAACUGCGAAUGGCGGACAGAUGAUGCCAGGGAGUCAGACUGCACGAGAUAAGUUGGGUGGUCAAAAGGGAAAGAGCCCAGACCUACAGCUAAGGUCCCAAAGUGUGUGUUAAGUGGAAAAGGAUGUGGGAUUUCGAAGACAACUAGGAUGUUGGCUCAGAAGCAGCCACACAUUAAAAGAGUGCGUAAUAGCUCACUAGUCGAGAGGUCCUGCGCCGAAAAUGUCCGGGGCUAAAACACAACACCGAAGCUUAGGAAUUCUAAUGAAUUGGUAGAGGAGCAUUGAAGACGGAACGAAGCCAUACCGAAAGGAAUGGUGGACUGUCUUGAAGAGAGAAUGCCGGAAUGAGUAGCGAGAUUGAAGUGAGAAUCUUCAAGGCCGAAUAUCUAAGGUUUCCAGGGUAAAGCUGAUCUGCCCUGGGUAAGUCGGGGCCUAAGGCAAGGUCGAAAGACGUAGUCGAUGGAUAACAGGUUGAAAUUCCUGUACUGCAUCAAAUCAGAAAUGUGGGGACACAUGAGGGAAGCAUGAGCCGGAAAAGGAAAGUCCGGUACAAGCGCAGCAGAGGACAGAUAGGCAAAACCGUCUGUCAACUCAAGGGCGCGAUGUGGAGCGAACCAAAGUAGCGAAGCAUGUGGAGCUUGUGUCGAGAAAAGCCGCUAUAGUGUUUGAUGUACCCGUACCGUAAACCGACACAGGUGGAUGAGGAGAGAAUCCUAAGGCCGGCGGGAGAAGCAUUGUUAAGGAACUCGGCAAAAUGACCCCGUAACUUCGGGAGAAGGGGUGCUCCAGAGAUGGAGCCGCAGAGAACUGGCCCAAGCAACUGUUUAGCAAAAACACAGGUCUAUGCAAAACCGAAAGGUGAGGUAUAUGGGCUGACGCCUGCCCGGUGCUGGAAGGUUAAGAGGAGAUGUUAGCCGCAAGGUGAAGCAUUGAAUUUAAGCCCCAGUAAACGGCGGCCGUAACUAUAACGGUCCUAAGGUAGCGAAAUUCCUUGUCGGGUAAGUUC